AAGGCAAAGGAAUUUAACGAGGUCAUACAGGAACAGUAUUAUCCUUGGUUUGCACAAUACAUGGUCAUGAAAAGGGCAAGCAUUGAACCAAAUUUCCAUGAUCUGUAUCUGAAGUUCUUUGAUAAAGUAAACUCAAAAUCCUUGAACAAGGAAAUACUGAAAGCCACAUAUGAGAACUGCAAGGUUUUUGUUCUCUCCAAUUCGUCUGCCCUGUUUUUAUUUUUUGCUAGCCAUUUUGUUUAAACUUGGAUACUUUUGCUGCAGGUCUUGUUAAGAUCAAACCUUAUCAAAUCUAGUUCCGAGGAGCGCUCCUUGCUAAAAAACCUAGGCAGUUGGUUGGGAAAGUUCACCAUUGGUAGGAAUCAGGCACUAAGGGCUAAGGAGAUUGAUCCAAAAUCUCUUAUCGUGGAGGCAUAUGAGAAAGGAUUGAUGAUUGCGGUCAUACCAUUCACUUCAAAGAUCCUUGAACCUUGCCAGUCAAGUAUCGCAUAUCGACCUCCAAAUCCCUGGACCAUGGGAAUUCUAAGUCUACUUGCUGAAAUUUAUAAUCUUCCAAACCUCAAGAUGAAUCUGAAAUUUGAUAUUGAGGUCCUCAACAUUCCUUUUUUUGAUAGUUUCUUUAUUGACUUUGUAUCUGCCCUAGCUACCCAUGGCCAUGCUAAAUGUUCUUUUGGGAUUUCAGGUGCUAUUAAGAACCUUACUGUUGACAUAAAGGAUGUGAAACCAACUUCCCUGCUCAAAGAUCGUCUGCGCGAAGUCGAGGGAAAUCCAGAUUUUUCAAAUAAAGAUGUUACUGCAUCUCAAACCCCUGUGGUUGCAGAAGUCCCUUCAGGGACCAUCCCUUCACUAACUCAUAUGGAACAACAACCUGAGGUCAAUAUCACAUCCCGAGCUAUGAGCCUUCCAAAUAUACUUAAUCAGUAUGCUGCUCCUGUCCGUCUACCUACAAACAGCACGGUAGAAGAUGACAAAGUUGCUCUGAUGAUGCCUGAGCAAGUGCCCUCGUUGACCCAGGUUUCGCCAGCACAAACACAAUCAACAUCACCAUCUCCAUUUUCUGUUAACCAGGUUAACUUAAUGUUUUAACUGCUAUUUUUUAUCUAAACAGCUAGAUUAUGUUAUAUGAUUUUUUCAUUUGUGAUAUGUAGCUUAUGGCAGCUAUUCCACGAGAAGAGAUACGUUUCAAAAUAAAUCCAAAGGUCGGCUCCCUUGGUCCAUAACUGCAAUAUAGCAAGUAUGCCUCCAAGUUUCUGAAAGGAAUUUGUUAUAUUUCAUUUCGUAUUUAAUCUGAACUUCUUUUGUUGCUGAUAAAUUACUUGCUUUAUCUAGAAUUAUGGAUUUGGUUUUGGAUAAGGCUAACAGGGAGAUAAUACUCCCUGUUAUUCAAAGAAGUGUGACCAUAGCAAGCUGAACUACAAAAGAACUUAUUCUGAAGGAUUAUGCACUGGAGUCUGAUAACAAUACGAUAACUCGAUCCGCACAUUUGAUGGUUGGAACAUUAGCCGGAAGUCUGGCACAUGUUACUUGCAAGGAACCUCUUCGUGUUGCACUAUAUUCUAAUCUUCGGAAUCUCAUUCAGAACCUUAUGAGCGGCAGUGAAACUAUCGAGCAACUUAUUCACACGCUAAUCAAUGAUAACUUGGAUCUUGGCUGUGCCAUCAUUGAGGCUGUGGCAACA